rfam:Hordeum vulgare subsp. vulgare, WGS project CAJW01000000 data, contig: morex_contig_748878
UCUCUGUGAUGAUGAAAACAGAUGAUGAGUCUGAUGUAAUCCAUUCUAUUAAACCAUGUUGACAAUC